rnacentral:rRNA from 1 species
AACGUAGGACGCAAGCGUUAUCCGGAGUUACUGGGCGUAAAGCGCGGGCAGGCGGCUCGAUGCGUCUGAUGUGAAAUCUCCUCGCUCAACGGGGAGAGGCCAUUGGAAACGGUCGGGCUGGAGGGCAGUAGAGGCAGGCGGAAUUCCGGGUGGAGUGGUGAAAUGCGUAGAGAUCUGGAAGAACACCAAAGGCGAAGGCAGCAUCCUGGGAAGUGCCUGACGCUCAUGUGCGAAAGCUAGGGGAGCGAACGGG